rnacentral:rRNA from 1 species
AACGCGAAGAACCUUACCAGCUCUUGACAUGCCCGGUAUGGGCGGGAGAGAUCCCGUUCUUCGGUUCGGCCGGCCGGGACACAGGUGCUGCAUGGCUGUCGUCAGCUCGUGUCGUGAGAUGUUGGGUUAAGUCCCGCAACGAGCGCAACCCUUAUUGCCAGUUGCCACCGGGUUAUGCCGAGCACUCUGGCGAAACCGCACAGGAUAACUGUGAGGAAGGUGGGGAUGACGUCAAGUCCUCAUGGCCUUUAUGUCCAGGGCUACACACGUGCUACAAUGGUCGGUACAAACCGUCGCAAACCCGUGAGGGGGAGCUAAUCGGAAAAAGCCGGCCUCAGUUCGGAUUGGAGUCUGCAACCCGACUCCAUGAAGCUGGAAUCGCUAGUAAUCGCGGAUCAGAACGCCGCGGUGAAUACGUUCCCGGGCCUUGUACACACCGAGUAUA